CCUAACCUUUUGUAAUGUAAUUUACAAAAUAUCGGCAAAGGUAUUGGUUAAUAGGUUGGAAUUAAAAAAAAAUACUUCUAUGUAUUAUUUCUGAGAGUUAAACUGCUUUUGUGCCCAGUAGCUUGAUAACUGAUAAUUUAGUGGAGGUGUGUCUUUGCAUUCUAUGAAAAACUUCCAUGUAUUAUUUCAGUUCCAAUACUACAGUGAUAUCAGUACUUUUUGGGGUGCUUCUAGUUCAGGCUACUUUGAGAAGUAUCUAGGCUCACCUCCUGUGAUUGGUCGAGGGAAAAGGAAAGCUUUGGAGGAUAUUAAAAUUUGAAUCUAGGAUAAAAUCAAAGGGUGAAACUUUGGAAGAAGAAAUAUAUUUCUUCUGUUGGUAGAGGGCUGUUAAUUCCAGCUAUUCGUGUGGGAUGUGUUCAGCGGAGCCAGAAACUCUGCAUCAUUUACUGUGGAGCGGCUCUUUUGUGAGAUUUUUUUUUUUUUUUUUUUUUUUUUUUUUUUUUUUUUUUUUUUUUUUUGAGAUUGAUAUAGGCAUUACAGGAUGGAUUGAGAGAGUUGCAACUUAGGGAAGAUUUAUUAUUUAGAUGCUGAGAGAAAAACAUCGCUGACAGUAGAAAUUUUCUUCACUGGAGCCUGGAUGUUGUGGAAUUGUUGAAAUGAAUCUCGCCUAAGGGAAUCCACGUGAACUCCAGAACAAACUUUCCACAAAGCCACAAGGGACGCACUGGAGUUCACUGAAGCCAAUCAAGCUGCCCUUGGGCACCCUCCCCUUCUAUCCAGUUUUCAAGGCUUUAUUUAGCUCAGCAAGGCGCUUUUGUUUGGCCUCAUUCUCAAUCUGCCUCUGGUACUCCAAAUGCUCUUCAAGCGUUCUUUGCUCUUUCUCCUCUUCAGAUGUAAGUUUCCUUUCCUGUUGCUCCAAUUCGUCAGUGGUUACCGGAUCCACGAUCUCAGGAUUAGGACGAUCAUCUCCGUCAUGUGCAGCUGGAAAGGAACUGAAGCACAGAACAGGAGAAAAUAUAAUGAGCUUUAUUUGAGCCUAGGGAUUGAGAGAACAUACUGCCAAAGAUAUAUGCAAUUCCAGUUUACAUAUGUUAUAGUCAAUGACAAUGUUAAAAGUAUGAACAAAGACUUAUAUUUGCUGCACAUUUUCCUGCAGCUCCUCGCUACCUCCAGCUGCCUACAAUAAGCAAAUUGUAUAUAAUUGGGAGUUUGGGACAUUUAUUUUCAUAA